rnacentral:lncRNA from 1 species
CUGAUUCAGUGACUGAUCCUAUGGAAUCUGAGCUGAUCCUUUCUCCUCCUUUUCCCCCAAGUGGACACUCCCGCUUAAAAUGCCCUACUACACCACACCUAUAGCACUUCUUAGCCUCCUUGCUGCCUCCUUGCUGAGACUAUUUCCAUCCCACCUGUCAGCCCUUCUUCUUCCCUUUCUUGGGUCGCUCUGACACUGCAAGAUCCUCUAAAAAGACCUCCCUCUUCAUCAUCCGUUCCCACUGCUCAUUGGACCUUAGCACUGAUAGGUUCUCCUCAUACACUCCCAUCUCCUUUCUAUACAGCAGCAUAGUCACCAACAGAUUGAAACUCCC